AGUGAACGCUGGCGGUAGGCCUAACACAUGCAAGUCGAACGGCAGCACAGUAAGAGCUUGCUCUUACGGUUGGCGAGUGGCGGACGGGUGAGGAAUACAUCGGAAUCUACUUUUUCGUGGGGGAUAACGUAGGGAAACUUACGCUAAUACCGCAUACGACCUGCGGCUGAAAGCAGUGGAUCUUCGGACCUUGCGCGAUUGAAUUAGCCGAUGUCGGAUUAGCUAGUUGGCGGGGUAAAGGCCCACCAAGGCGACGAUCCGUAGCUGGUCUGAGAGGAUGAUCAGCCACACUGGAACUGAGACACGGUCCAGACUCCUACGGGAGGCAGCAGUGGGGAAUCUUGGGCAAUGGGCGCAAGCCUGAUCCAGCCAUACCGCGUGGGUGAAGAAGGCCUUCGGGUUGUAAAGCCCUUUUGUUGGGAAAGAAAAGCAGCAGGUUAAUACCCCGCUGUUCUGACGGUACCCAAAGAAUAAGCACCGGCUAACUUCGUG
rnacentral:rRNA from 1 species